UCCGUUCUACUUUGGCCGCUGUUGGCGGGAGGCCGCCAUCAUAAGAUAGCUAUGGUCAUCGUCCUUUCUUCCUUUCCCUCCGUGCACUGGCUGGCGAUCGUUGUCGUCUGCAAACAUGUGUGUCUGGGUUACGUGAACGAUAUAUGCUACAGGCAACGACUGUGACUGGUUCUGAGUGGCGCUUGCAGCGCUUUGAAAGGGCUAGGCAGUAACGAGCGCACGUUCGUUUUCCUUGUCGCUGUUCAGCUAUAUCAGUCAGCCAACCAGCUAGGUAAGCGCGCUCUGUCUGGUGAGUGACCCGGCCAUACUAAGCUCCUCGUUGGCGGCCGUUUUCGUGAGAGCCUCCACAUUUAGCCGUCGUCGUCGUCGUCGUCGUCGUCGUCGUCGUCGUCGCCGCCGCCGCCGCGAACCACCACCGCCGCCACCGGCACUGCCACUGCCAUCGCCGGUGCCUCUGCCGCCAACGACGAAAACGAAGUAUCACAGGCCCAUAAACUGCUGUCACUGCUGGGACGGCGUAAAGACGGCAGGAGAAGCAAGAACAAAAAGAGAACUGCUGUUAGAAGACCUGUGUGUACGGGACGGAUACGGGCGCCUGUAAGUAGUGUGUGCGGUUCCUGUGCCCGGUUGUUCGCUUGGUUGUGUCGUCUCGCCGCCGCCGCUGCUGCUGCCGCCGCUGCAUCGACAGGACGUGUGUUGUUUGGUCGUGUGCUCCUGUGAGGGCGCUAGUUGUAUCGGUCGCUACCGGCGGCGCUGCUGUUGCUGCUGCUACUACUUCCACUGUGAGAUGACUUGGCGAGUGUCGCCUGGUUAGCGGGCGUUGUGUGCUCUGCUGCGGCAGCAGGAUCAUCAUCAUAAUCACGAUCACCAUCAUCUCCACCAUCAUAUCGCCGUAGAGUAGCGCAGUGCAAGUGGCCACAGCAGCAGCAAUAGUAGUAGUAGUAGUAGUAGUAGCAGUAGUCGAGAGGCAGUUUGGGCGGCUGCUUACUGACUGGACGAGAGAGUUUGUUCGUCCGUCCGUCCGUCUGGCUGUGUGUCGUGGUCCUGCUGCCGGCCGAGGGAGGUCCUGUCUCGUCGCUGUCUGCCUUUUGCUGCUGUGAGUGGUAGCAUCGAGCCUGUUCGCCCUACCGAACCGGUCGCAGUAUAGCUGCUGCGAGUGUUGCUGGUGUUACAACAGCGCUGCAACGGCACCACCCGCCGUCACCAAUAGCACCAUCAAUAAAUACGACCAAGAUCACAGCAACAAGCACCGGCAGCACACACAGGGUUUAAUAAUCACGGAUUUGUGUUCGCUAGAAGAGCCGUACCAAGGGAAAUUUUAAGUAGAUUCAGCUAGUCUGCUGAUGCUGCUAAUACUGCUGCUGGAUCGACAGAUUCACACAAAGAACACGCACAGUACGUGUGAAAGAAAACGAGGUCAUACGAGACUUCAGUAGUUGUGUUGCGAUCGAGGAUUGGUGGCUGUGUGGACUAGCGGCAAGCAAAAACGAUUUUGCUAUUUUCACGUAAGGUCAAUCAAUCGGACUGAGUGCGACGAAUGCUGUUGUCACAUUUGUGAACGCGACAGGCAACGAUCGUUAACGGAUACGAACCAAGUAACGUAGCGAAGCGAAGCAGAGGAGCGGAAGUACGUUAAGGUUUUAUCUUGCUGAAGGGUUAGGCUCAGCUUGUUGGAUACGGUGCUUGUGAAUCUGUUGGCCCGACCCUUCCAAGAGAAAGAGCGCUUGAGAGGCAAUCAACUGCGCAAAGAAUACGGGAACCUCAAGCCUCGCUUAAUGAGAUAUUGUGUGACUGUGUUCGCCGCGUGUGUUUGUAAUUCGAAAAAUCGUGCAGCUCUUCAUUAUUCUGCACGAAACACGAAAGACCUGGUGGUCUUCACUGCAGGCGUUGCACCAACAACAAUCUGAUUCACAGCGAUUGACCGUAUCUAACAUCCAUUCAACUAACUACCAUGUAUCCCAUCGGCCAGCAUAUCUCUGACGUAUUGACUGACAGGGAUCUGAUCGAAGGAUGCUAUUGGCCAUUAUCAGACAGCUGCGGAGUAAACAAACUUCGUCUUUGAUAUCUUUUGAGUUUCAUAUCUGCGCAUCUUUCGGCUGCAUCUAGGCGCAAGCAUUUGGCGGGCCGAACAUUAACGAUGGAGAAAAACCAGCGGGUGGUCCAGUGACCCCCGGUGGUGCAUUAGGCGCUAUGGGAGCGCCGGGCACUCAGCUUCCAGUGGCACGACCUCAGGGUCCUCUUUCACCGCCUGGUAGUGCUGUGGUCCCGCUCAAUGUCGGCAUGGGAGCGCCGCCGCCUCCACCCUCGGAACUCAACUUCGUCUGCCCACGCAGACCUAACGUCGGCACCGAAGGUCGGCCAAUUAUGCUGCGUGCCAACCACUUCCAGAUUACAAUGCCCCGUGGCUACCUACAUCACUACGAUGUCACAAUCACCCCGGACAAAUGCCCGCGUAAAGUAAAUCGUGAAAUCAUCGAGACAAUGGUGCAGUCUUGCUCAAAAAUCUUCGGUAACCAAAAGCCCGUAUUUGAUGGCCGUAAAAAUAUGUACACAAGAGAUGAUCUUCCUAUUGGAAAAGAUAAGGUAGAGCUUGAAGUAACCCUUCCGGGCGAGGGCAAAGACCGAGUGUUUCGCGUAGCAAUCAAAUGGAUGGCUCAAGUGAGCCUGUACGGUCUUGAAGAAGCCCUAGAAGGGCGAUCUCGUAACAUCCCACUAGACGCUAUUCAGGCUAUGGAUGUGGUGAUGCGCCAUCUACCUUCCAUGACGUAUACACCAGUUGGUCGUUCCUUCUUCAGUACUCCAGAAGGCUAUUUUCAUCCACUGGGUGGUGGCCGUGAAGUGUGGUUUGGUUUCCAUCAGUCUGUUCGGCCCUCGCAAUGGAAGAUGAUGCUCAAUAUCGAUGUAUCAGCAACGGCCUUCUACAAGGCACAGCCAGUCAUCGAGUUCAUGUGCGAAGUACUCGAGCUUCGAGAGCCAGCCGAACAACGGCGGGUGCUCACCGAUUCACAGCGUGUGAAGUUCACCAAAGAGAUCAAGGGGCUCAAGAUUGAGAUUACGCAUUGCGGGUCAAUGCGCCGCAAAUAUCGUGUUUGCAACGUUACGCGUCGACCCGCCCAACUACAGUCGUUCCCGCUGCAGCUCGAGAAUGGCCAAACGGUAGAGUGUACCGUGGCUAAAUAUUUUCUUGAUAAGUACAAGAUGAAGUUGCGCUACCCGCAUUUCCCAUGCUUGCAGGUGGGCCAAGAACACAAGCAUACAUACCUCCCGUUGGAGGUGUGUAAUGUGGUGGCUGGACAGCGCUGCAUCAAGAAGCUCACCGACCUACAGACUUCGACGAUGAUCAAGGCAACCGCCCGUUCCGCGCCGGACCGUGAACGUGAGAUCAAUAACCUCGUUCGCAAGGCCGACUUCAACAAGGAUCCCUAUGUGCAGGAGUUUGGUCUGUCUAUCGCGCAUACUAUGAUGGAGGUUCGUGGGAGGGUGCUGCCUCCGCCAAAGCUGCAGUACGGUGGACGCACCAAAGCUCUGGCGUUGCCCAACAGCGGCGUGUGGGACAUGCGUGGCAAACAGUUCCACACCGGUGUCGAGAUCCGUAUAUGGGCUAUCGCGUGCUUUGCCCCACAGCGGGGCUGCCGCGAGGAUGCCCUACGCAGUUUUACGCAACAGCUGCAGAAAAUAUCGAGCGAUGCUGGCAUGCCGAUUAUCGGUCAGCCGUGUUUCUGCAAAUAUGCCUCUGGCCCCGAUCAGGUAGAACCAAUGUUCCGCUACCUGAAAACGACGUUUCAGGGCUUACAGCUGGUGGUCGUCGUGCUGCCAGGCAAGACACCAGUGUACGCCGAAGUCAAACGCGUCGGCGACACCGUGCUCGGUAUGGCUACGCAAUGCGUGCAGGCGAAAAACGUUAACAAAACAUCACCGCAGACCCUCUCCAACCUAUGCCUAAAGAUCAAUGUCAAACUCGGUGGCAUCAACUCAAUCCUUGUACCGUCUAUCCGGCCAAAAGUGUUCAACGAGCCUGUCAUUUUCUUCGGAUGUGACGUUACUCACCCACCUGCUGGGGACAAUAAAAAACCUUCGAUUGCCGCUGUCGUAGGAUCGAUGGAUGCUCAUCCGUCCCGGUAUGCGGCCACUGUACGAGUACAGCAACAUCGACAAGAAAUUAUUCAGGAUCUCGCUUCGAUGGUCAAGGAACUUCUAAUACAGUUCUAUCGAUCAACGCGCUUCAAACCGAAUCGAAUAAUUUUUUACCGGGACGGAGUAUCGGAAGGCCAGUUCCACCAAGUUCUGCACCACGAGCUAAUCGCCAUUCGGUCUGCUUGCCUACAGUUGGAGUAUGAUUAUAAGCCAGGAAUCACCUUAAUAGUAGUCCAGAAACGCCACCACACUCGUCUUUUCUGCGCAGACCGCAAAGAGCAGAUGGGAAAAUCAGGCAAUAUUCCUGCUGGCACGACGGUCGAUGUAGGUAUCACGCACCCAACCGAGUUUGAUUUCUACCUUUGUUCUCAUGCCGGUAUCCAGGGCACAUCGCGACCUUCGCACUAUCAUGUGCUCUGGGACGACAAUCAGUUCACAGCCGACGAACUGCAGUGUCUCACCUACCAAUUGUGUCACACGUAUGUACGUUGUACACGCUCAGUAUCAAUUCCAGCGCCUGCGUACUACGCUCAUCUGGUAGCGUUCCGUGCACGAUACCAUCUCGUCGAGAAAGAGCACGACAGUGGCGACGGGAGUCACCAUUCAACAAACGGAGACGACAAUAAUCCUAUCGCUUUGGCACGGGCAGUUGCUGUUCAUAUGAAUACCAUGAAAGUCAUGUAUUUCGCCUAGAUUUUGUCGACAACAUUAAAAAAGAUCUUUUAAGAUGAGCAAUACUUUUAUUUGUGUUUCGGGGUGGGGUUCGUAAAGGACAUAAAGUUAAAAGAAGAUCUGCUAUAUUGUGAAUUGUGAAUGGCAGCAACAAAGACCAUUUCUAGCAAGAAUACCAAGAAUUACUUUACAUUCUACUGCUAUUUACUAUCGAAGAAAACUAAAGCAAUCAUAAAAUUUCGAGACUCUCACAACUUCCCGUUCACCGGUCGGAAGUUCGUUUCCAGCGAUACAUGUUCAAAUAGCUCCACUUCAACCGACGCAGUUCGGUGAGCGUUGGCGCCACCGUCGCAAGCCGCCAAGAGCCAUAGCUACAUCUAAUGACUGCCCGAAUAGUAGCUCGAUGCUGUUGAUUCAUCGGCGCGACCUAUCGAUUCCUCGUUAAAUCAACCUGUACUACAGCUAUAAUUUUUUAAUAUAAAUUUAAUAGUAAUGAAGACAUUCGAAGAAGAUAUCGACGAACCGAUGUAUUUAUAUAACGGCGUUGAGACGCCUUCGAUACCACUAUGCAGAGAAAGAACAUAUAGGGAACAAAGAGCCUGAGUGGAUGCCCGCGAUAUGUAAGAUGCCCAAGAAAGCUGGCAACUGAAUAGACCGACGUUCCGCUCGAGUGAACUGAUAACAAAUAACGUCGAACGGGUAAAUAAAUCGAUGAACCUCCUGUGAGUGAAUCCCACCAUAGCCAAUCACAAAGACAAAUGACUACAACUAAAGAAGAAACAUCAAGAAACGUCAGCUACCACUUAUUGACUCCAUAUCACCGUUAACAUCGUUUCCUAGGCUGAUUACCAGUAUAUGCGGCGAGGGGAGCCACCAGUCGUCGAACGGAGAUGAUCGAACGGUGGUGGCACUGGCUCGUGCAGUCACGGUGCAUCCCGAAA